ensembl:lncRNA
UAUAUAAAGAGAGAUCAUCAUCACAUUAUUAAUUUUAAAACAUUUUGACGUUGUGACACAGACAGAAUUAAGCCCCUCCUCCCCGUGUCUGUAGUCCUUGUGAUUGGCUACAAUAUGCAUAGAUACAGGGAUCAGCUUUAUGGUUCAGUCCCACUGACGUCACACACACACACACACACACACACACACACACACACACACACACACACACACACACACACACUGGGAGGACAGUGGCGAGGAGGAGGAGGAAGCACGCCGAUUUCUCUACCUUUUCGUAAGACAGCAUUUUUGGGGGGGGGUGAAACCGCUGAGCUCUUCCAAGCAGGUACAAACUAACUCACACAACCAGAAGUCGUUUCAGUGCUAGAAGAUGGAUGCAUCCGACAAGGAGAGAAUCUGGGGAGACACUGGCUCCAUUUCAGGUCUAACCAGAACCACACCAGAACCACGGGUCAGGACACUGACCGACCCCACACCAGAUCUACGGUCAGGACACUGACCGACCCCACACCAGAUCUAGUCAGGACACUGACCGACCUACACCAGAUCUACAGUCAGGACACUGACCGACCCCACACCAGAUCUACAGUCAGGACACUGACCGACCUACACCAGAUCUAGUCAGGACACUGACCGACCCCACACCAGAUCUACAGUCAGGACACUGACCGACCUACACCAGAUCUAGUCAGGACACUGACCGACCCCAC